CCUAUACUGCAAAGCGAAAAUUGUAAAGAUCGCCAUUUGUCCUUCAGUUUUGUAUUCAUGCAGAGACUUGAAAGCGUUUAACACCUGCUCAAAAUUCCAAACCUUCAGAUCAAGAUGCAGAGCACUGCGCUUGCUGUGUCUCCUUCCACCUCGUUUCUCAAACCUCCGUGUCGAAACUCUUUUCUUAAUGCCUCUCAGCUUUCACCCUCAACGUCCUUCAUACAAGUUGACAAUCUGACUAAAGUUCAAAGGCUUUCAUAGCAAACAGCUCUUUACACUUUUCUUAUUCCAAUGCUUCCUUCAUUUUCUCGAAUCGUAGAUAUGAUAAUUUGAAGGUCAGGGCUGCUUCUGUGCCCGAGAGUGCUGAUGAGGCCUCGAAACAGAGUGGGUUGGUCAAGACCUUGCAGCUUGGUUCAAUGUUCGGAAUUUGGUACCUUUUGAAUAUUUACUUCUACAUCUACAGCAAACAGAAGCUAGAAUUUGAAGGCCAGAGCUUGUUCAUAGAUUCUGAAAGUAUCCAUUCCCAGCAACGGUCACCGUGUUUCAGUUUGGCUGAGGGACUGUGAUGAUUAUCCUGAUGUGGGCUCUUAACCUCUACCCCAGACCAAAUCUCACUCGGUCACAGCUUGCGGCAGUUCUACCUUUGGGUGUGGCACACAGUCGGAAACUUAUUGACUAACAUUAGCCUUGGGAAAGUUUCAGUUUCCUUCACUCACACAAUCAAGGCCAUGGAGCCCUUGUUCACAGUUGGAUUCUCUGCUCUUUUGCUUGCUGAGCUUUCUGAUCAGGCUGACUGCUGAUUGCUGUCCACACAAAGGCCGAGUAUUUGGGUGGUUUCUUCUCUUGUACCGAUUGUAGGUGGAGUGGCAUUGGCAUCCUUCACCGAGGCCUCUUUUAAAUGGAUCGGUUUCGGUAGUGCAAUGGCCUCUAAUGUUACAAACCAAUCACGUAAUGUACUCAACAAGAAGUUCAUGGUUAAAAAAAGAGGAAUCUUUGGACAAUAUCAAUCUCUUCUCAGUGAUCACUAUCAUUUCCUUCAUCCUGUUGGUUCCUUUGGCAAUUCUAUUGGAAGGCGUUAAAUUUACUCCUUCUUACCUGCACUCUGCUGUGGAUACUAUUGCUAAGCGCUUCCCAAAAAAGCAGUUAGAAGUGCUUCCUCAAGUAGCUAGUUUUUCUGUACACAUUGCUGUAUAAUUGAUAAUAUUACAUGUAUACCAGGCAAACCAAGGAUUGAAUAUCAAAGAGUUAUGCGUAAGAUCACUUCUGGCUGGCUUCUGCUUCCACACUUGACACCACAGUUUCCUACUCUCUCUAAAUUAAACCGAAAAUUGAAGUCUCUUAUAUGAUACUGCAGAUGGUAUCACCAGUGACUCACGCAGUCGGAAACUGUAUGAAGCGUGUGGUGGUGAUAGUCUCCUCAGUCAUCUUCUUCCAAACCCCCGUCUCACUGAUAAACGCACUCGGGACAGCUUUGUACUAGAUCUCGCAGGAGUGUUCUUGUAUUCAAGAGCCAAGAGACUCAAGGCAAAGCCCAAUUAGUGAUGCAUGAAUUGUAAAUAUAUAAGGACAAUGCUUGUGUCUCUACAGGAUUUACUUGUUUCCCUACUUAUGAAGUAUAAUUAACGAAUAUUUACCAUCUGAACACCAUAAACGAAA